UACCAGCUCUCCGAGUGGUAGGGAUGAUUAUUGGGCUUAAAGCGUCCGUAGCCGGCUUAGCAAGUCUCCUGUUAAAUUCAGCGACUCAAUCGUUGGAUCGCGGGAAAUACUACUAGGCUAGGAGGCGGGAGAGGUCAACGGUACUUCUGGGGUAGGGGUGAAAUCCUAUAAUCCCGGGAGGACCACCAGUGGCGAAGGCUGUUGACUAGAACGCGCUCGACGGUGAGGGACGAAAGCUGGGGUAGCAAACCGGAUUAGAUACCCGGGUAGUCCCAGCUGUAAACGAUGCGAGCUAGGUGUUGGGAUGGCUACGGGCCAUUUCAGUGCCGCAGGGAAGCCAUUAAGCUCGCCGCCUGGGGAGUACGGCCGCAAGGCUGAAACUUAAGGAAUUGGCGGGGAGCACCGACAAGGCGUGAAGCUUGCGGUUC
rnacentral:rRNA from 1 species